rnacentral:rRNA from 1 species
ACUCCUACGGGAGGCAGCAGUGAGGAAUAUUGGUCAAUGGGCGGAAGCCUGAACCAGCCAAGUAGCGUGAGGGAUGACUGCCCUAUGGGUUGUAAACCUCUUUUAUGUGAGGAUAAAUGACGGUACGUGUACCGUUUUGCAGGUAUCACAUGAAUAAGGACCGGCUAAUUCCGUGCCAGCAGCCGCGGUAAU